GCAGUCUGCAACUCGAGUGCAUGAAGCUGGAAUCGCUAGUAAUCGCGGAUCAGAAUGCCGCGGUGAAUACGUUCCCGGGUCUUGUACACACCGCCCGUCACACCAUGGGAGUCGGGAAUGCCCGAAGCCGGUGGCCCAAUCGAGAGAAGGGAGCCGUCGAAGGCAGGCCGGAUGACUGGGGUGAAGUCGUAACAAGGUAUC
rnacentral:rRNA from 1 species